GGUUAAGCGACUAAGCGUACACGGUGGAUGCCCUGGCAGUCAGAGGCGAUGAAGGACGUGCUAAUCUGCGAAAAGCGCCGGCGAGGUGAUAUGAACCUUUGACCCGGCGAUGUCCGAAUGGGGAAACCCAGUGCAAUUCGUUGCACUAUCGUUAACUGAAUACAUAGGUUAACGAGGCGAACCGGGGGAACUGAAACAUCUAAGUACCCCGAGGAAAAGAAAUCAACCGAGAUUCCCCCAGUAGCGGCGAGCGAACGGGGAGCAGCCCAGAGUCUGAAUCAGCUUGUGUGUUAGUGGAAGCGUCUGGAAAGUCGCACGGUACAGGGUGACAGUCCCGUACACGAAAGCACACAGGCUGUGAACUCGAAGAGUAGGGCGGGACACGUGGUAUCCUGUCUGAAUAUGGGGGGACCAUCCUCCAAGGCUAAAUACUCCUGACUGACCGAUAGUGAACCAGUACCGUGAGGGAAAGGCGAAAAGAACCCCGGCGAGGGGAGUGAAAAAGAACCUGAAACCGUGUACGUACAAGCAGUGGGAGCACCUUCGUGGUGUGACUGCGUACCUUUUGUAUAAUGGGUCAGCGACUUAUAUUCUGUAGCAAGGUUAACCGUAUAGGGGAGCCGAAGGGAAACCGAGUCUUAACUGGGCGUUAAGUUGCAGGGUAUAGACCCGAAACCCGGUGAUCUAGCCAUGGGCAGGUUGAAGGUUGGGUAACACUAACUGGAGGACCGAACCGACUAAUGUUGAAAAAUUAGCGGAUGACUUGUGGCUGGGGGUGAAAGGCCAAUCAAACCGGGAGAUAGCUGGUUCUCCCCGAAAGCUAUUUAGGUAGCGCCUCGUGAACUCAUCUUCGGGGGUAGAGCACUGUUUCGGCUAGGGGGCCAUCCCGGCUUACCAACCCGAUGCAAACUACGAAUACCGAAGAAUGUUAUCACGGGAGACACACGGCGGGUGCUAACGUCCGUCGUGAAGAGGGAAACAACCCAGACCGCCAGCUAAGGUCCCAAAGUCAUGGUUAAGUGGGAAACGAUGUGGGAAGGCACAGACAGCCAGGAUGUUGGCUUAGAAGCAGCCAUCAUUUAAAGAAAGCGUAAUAGCUCACUGGUCGAGUCGGCCUGCGCGGAAGAUGUAACGGGGCUAAACCAUGCACCGAAGCUGCGGCAGCGACGCGUAUGCGUUGUUGGGUAGGGGAGCGUUCUGUAAGCCGUUGAAGGUGUCCUGUGAGGGGUGCUGGAGGUAUCAGAAGUGCGAAUGCUGACAUAAGUAACGAUAAAGCGGGUGAAAAGCCCGCUCGCCGGAAGACCAAGGGUUCCUGUCCAACGUUAAUCGGGGCAGGGUGAGUCGACCCCUAAGGCGAGGCCGAAAGGCGUAGUCGAUGGGAAACAGGUUAAUAUUCCUGUACUUGGUGUUACUGCGAAGGGGGGACGGAGAAGGCUAUGUUAGCCGGGCGACGGUUGUCCCGGUUUAAGCAUGUAGGCGGAGGUUCCAGGUAAAUCCGGUACCUUUUAACGCUGAGGUGUGAUGACGAGGCACUACGGUGCUGAAGUAACAAAUGCCCUGCUUCCAGGAAAAGCCUCUAAGCAUCAGGUAACAUCAAAUCGUACCCCAAACCGACACAGGUGGUCAGGUAGAGAAUACCAAGGCGCUUGAGAGAACUCGGGUGAAGGAACUAGGCAAAAUGGUGCCGUAACUUCGGGAGAAGGCACGCUGAUAUGUAGGUGAAGCCCCUGCGGGUGGAGCUGAAAUCAGUCGAAGAUACCAGCUGGCUGCAACUGUUUAUUAAAAACACAGCACUGUGCAAACACGAAAGUGGACGUAUACGGUGUGACGCCUGCCCGGUGCCGGAAGGUUAAUUGAUGGGGUUAGCGGCAACGCGAAGCUCUUGAUCGAAGCCCCGGUAAACGGCGGCCGUAACUAUAACGGUCCUAAGGUAGCGAAAUUCCUUGUCGGGUAAGUUCCGACCUGCACGAAUGGCGUAAUGAUGGCCAGGCUGUCUCCACCCGAGACUCAGUGAAAUUGAACUCGCUGUGAAGAUGCAGUGUACCCGCGGCAAGACGGAAAGACCCCGUGAACCUUUACUAUAGCUUGACACUGAACACUGGUCCUUGAUGUGUAGGAUAGGUGGGAGGCUUUGAAGCGUGGACGCCAGUCUGCGUGGAGCCGUCCUUGAAAUACCACCCUUUAAUGGCUGGUGUUCUAACGUAGACCCGUGAUCCGGGUUGCGGACAGUGUCUGGUGGGUAGUUUGACUGGGGCGGUCUCCUCCCAAAGAGUAACGGAGGAGCACGAAGGUUAGCUAAUCCUGGUCGGACAUCAGGAGGUUAGUGCAAUGGCAUAAGCUAGCUUGACUGCGAGAGUGACGGCUCGAGCAGGUGCGAAAGCAGGUCAUAGUGAUCCGGUGGUUCUGAAUGGAAGGGCCAUCGCUCAACGGAUAAAAGGUACUCCGGGGAUAACAGGCUGAUACCGCCCAAGAGUUCAUAUCGACGGCGGUGUUUGGCACCUCGAUGUCGGCUCAUCACAUCCUGGGGCUGAAGUAGGUCCCAAGGGUAUGGCUGUUCGCCAUUUAAAGUGGUACGCGAGCUGGGUUUAGAACGUCGUGAGACAGUUCGGUCCCUAUCUGCCGUGGGCGCUGGAGAAUUGAGGGGGGCUGCUCCUAGUACGAGAGGACCGGAGUGGACGCAUCACUGGUGUUCGGGUUGUCAUGCCAAUGGCACUGCCCGGUAGCUAAAUGCGGAAAAGAUAAGUGCUGAAAGCAUCUAAGCACGAAACUUGCCCCGAGAUGAGUUCUCCCUGACCCUUUAAGGGUCCUGAAGGAACGUUGAAGACGACGACGUUGAUAGGUCGGGUGUGUAAGCGCAGCGAUGCGUUGAGCUAACCGAUACUAAUGAACCGUGAGGCUUAACCUU
rnacentral:rRNA from 1 species